GGAUCUGAGACAAGAAGUGAUGGCAGAGCCAGCGUGUAAGAAGAAAUGUGAUCUGUCACUAGCUGCAGGCCCAGGAAGGCUGGGCUGUCACCGGUGUUCCUGCCUGUGCACUCGGCCUGGAAUGUCUCUCCCCAGCUGGCCUAUCCCAAGGAAGAUUUAUCUUCAACACUCUCCUCAAGCACCACUUCUAGGAACCCUUCACUAACACCUUCCUCUGAAUAAACCAGUACGUUUCGUACCGUGCA